UACGUAGGGUGCGAGCGUUAAUCGGAAUUACUGGGCGUAAAGCGCACGUAGGCGGACAUUUAAGUCAGGGGUGAAAUCCCAGAGCUCAACUCUGGAACUGCCUUUGAUACUGGGUGUCUUGAGUAUGGAAGAGGUAAGUGGAAUUCCGAGUGUAGAGGUGAAAUUCGUAGAUAUUCGGAGGAACACCAGUGGCGAAGGCGGCUUACUGGUCCAUUACUGACGCUGAGGUGCGAAAGCGUGGGGAGCAAACAGG
rnacentral:rRNA from 1 species